UCUUAAACUCCUAACACAUUAUUUAGUAUAUUUUUAUCUACACUGACCAAUGUAUAAUUUCCUAUAUCUACAUCUUUAAAUAUGCAUUACAUAUGGAUAAUUUGUUUUAAAAAUGAAGACACUCCUAUUCAGAUAUCUAUGUAAGAACAUUUAGUAGAAAUGUUUAUACACACCUUGACUGAAGUUGAGAGGUAAUGAAACAUCUUCUGUCUCGGUCAACGUUAGUAACAGUUCCCCACUUGUAAGAUAAGUUAGUUCUUCAAAUCCCAAACAUGUUCCCCAGAUCGGGAAAUAGUCACCAUUGUCAUUGGCCUGA